CCAGAUAAACCUACCGACCCAUACAUGGGUUCGUAAGAAUAAAAAAAUCUACUCUCAUUAUUUGAUUUAUUUAAACCAAGUUACACAUUUUUUUAGAAACUUUAAUAGAUACCUGUUAAUUGUAGUUCCAAGUAACGCAGUGAAUUAAUUAUUUUCUUAGUGUUUCACGUGAUUGAAUAUAUUUUUAUUGGAUAUUGUAAAACAUGUCCUCAAAAAGAUCAAAACUUUUAUCAGUACAUGAAAUUUUGAACGAAUUAGACAAUGAUGAUAGCCCAGUUCCAGAAUGCAUAACAUUUGAACCACCAGAUAACGCUAAUACUGCGGUUACUGAUGAAGAUUCAGGAGAAGAGGAUAAUAUUGUUAUACAUGGUUAUGUAUAACAAUAUUAUCCUGCCUGGUUCAAUUUUACGUGCACCUACUGAAGCUAUUUAUGCCAAUCAGACUGAUUCUGAAUCGGAGAGUGAAGAGAUUUCUUUGGCUAGUUUACAAAAAAGAUCUCGCAUUGGACAGCCGAACUAGAAGAUACAGUAGAGGAAUCGACAUCGACCAAAUGAUUUUCCUAGUUUCCAGCCCUUAGAAGGCCCCAGAAAUAUGUUACGUUCUCCAAUAAACUAUUUUGACCAAUUAUUCAAUGACGAAGUUAUAAAUAUGCUUGUGGAAUAUACCAAUUUGUAUGCUUCUCCAAGUGCCCCUUGCCAUCCAACCAGGCAUUCAAAAAAACUAACCGUGGAAGUUUUGCUUACAAGGCAAGUCUAGAAGAACAGAUACUAAUUGUUUGCAAAUGGAACGAUAACAGUGUUGUUACCGUUGCGUCAAAUGUGGAAUAUGUUGAGCCUUUACUAAAAACAAGACAUUUCUCUGAACAUUUGA
rnacentral:lncRNA from 1 species